rnacentral:rRNA from 1 species
UACGUAGGUGGCAAGCGUUGUCCGGAUUUACUGGGCGUAAAGAGCGCGCAGGCGGUCGUUCAAGUCGCGUGUGAAAGCCCCCGGCUCAACUGGGGAGGGUCACGCGAUACUGAUCGACUCGAAGGCAGGAGAGGGUAGUGGAAUUCCCGGUGUAGUGGUGGAAUGCGUAGAUAUCGGGGGGAACAUCAGUGGCGAAAGCGGCACCCUGGCAUUAGCCUGACGCUCAUGUGCGAAAGCGUGGGGAGCGAACGGG